GCAAAAAGAAAAAUCCAAAGAGUCGAGACAGAAACUCAUUCAAAUUUUAACCAGACCCAAAGACGCCCAGCAUCCACUAAUGAGACGGAAGCGGCUGUAGCAUGAGUUCCAAACCCGCCCUCUCCCACAGCAUUUCCAUGACGCGAUCUUGUCAAUCAACACGGUCCUUUCAAGUUGCUGAUUGAUGGCAGCUUCUUGAGAGGUAGCGAAGGCGCUGGCCACUUGAGUGCUUGGAGAUGCUCUCCUGAAGAUUUUUUUUUACGCAAUGGGAACAUGUAUGCAAGAAUACCACUUAUUGCCUUUGGGUUCAUCGUGUCUGCCUAGAUUGGUGAAAUUGCCCUCUACAUUUCGAUCAAUGCCGUUUUCUUGCAUAACGAACAAACACGGAAUUACAAAACAAACCCCGAAUCAGUCGAGAGUGUGAAAUGAAUUUUAUGAGAUGCACCAAUAUCAAGCUAAUGUGCAGAUGUGCCCCACCAUCUACAUAUAUUUCUCUGCCACCGAGAUGGAAAAAGAAAGAGUAUAAAGACUGGAGAAAUUUCUUUGAACAUCAGCAUUUAAAAAAUCGUAGUGUUCCCAACACAUGAAAUGGGCACCACUGCUAAAGUACACACUUUGACAUAUCUGCACAUGUGCAGUUGUACCUGUGACUUUAAGUCUUUUGUAAGACAAAAACCAAAGAACUGUGUUAAAGAAUUGCUUGUGUGAUGGAAGUUUUCA